GACGAACGCUGGCGGCGUGCUUAACACAUGCAAGUCGAACGGAAAGGCCCUGCUUUUGUGGGGUGCUCGAGUGGCGAACGGGUGAGUAACACGUGAGUAACCUGCCCUUGACUUUGGGAUAACUUCAGGAAACUGGGGCAAAUACCGGAUAGGAGCUCCUGCUGCAUGGUGGGGGUUGGAAAGUUUCGGCGGUUGGGGAUGGACUCGCGGCUUAUCAGCUUGUUGGUGGGGUAGUGGCUUACCAAGGCUUUGACGGGUAGCCGGCCUGAGAGGGUGACCGGCCACAUUGGGACUGAGAUACGGCCCAGACUCCUACGGGAGGCAGCAGUGGGGAAUAUUGCACAAUGGGCGGAAGCCUGAUGCAGCAACGCCGCGUGCGGGAUGAAGGCCUUCGGGUUGUAAACCGCUUUCGCCUGUGACGAAGCGUGAGUGACGGUAAUGGGUAAAGAAGCACCGGCUAACUACGUG
rnacentral:rRNA from 1 species